UACAGAGGGGGCAAGCGUUGUUCGGAAUUACUGGGCGUAAAGUGUGCGCAGGUGGCCGCGCAAGUCGAGUGUGAAAUCCCCGAGCUUAACUUGGGAAUUGCGCUCGAAACUACGUGGCUCGAGUGUGGCAGAGGAAGGUGGAAUUCCACGUGUAGCGGUGAAAUGCGUAGAGAUCCGGAGGAACACCGAAGGCGAAGGCAGUCUCCUGGCAAGUUACUGACGCUCAGGUGCGAAAGCUAGGGGAGCGAACAGG
rnacentral:rRNA from 1 species